rnacentral:rRNA from 1 species
UUAGAGUUUGAUUCUGGCUCAGGACGAACGCUGGCGGCGUGCUUAACACAUGCAAGUCGUACGGAAAAAUCUUUCUUCGGAGAGGUUUUUUAGUGGCGAACGGGUGAGUAACACGUGAGUAACCUGCCCUCUUCUUUGGAAUAACCUGCGGAAACGUGGGCUAAUGCCGAAUAUUCGUUUCCUCCUGCAUGGGAGGUUUCGGAAAGGACCUCAGUGAGGUUUGGUGGGGGAUGGGCUCGCGGCCUAUCAGUUUGUUGGUGGGGUGAUGGCCUACCAAGGCGUGGACGGGUAGCCGGCCUGAGAGGGUGUUCGGUCACACUGGGACUGAGAUACGGCCCAGACUCCUACGGGAGGCAGCAGUGGGGAAUUUUGCACAAUGGACGAAAGUCUGAUGCAGUGACGCCGCGUGGGGGAUGACGGCCUUCGGGUUGUAAACCUCUUUCGUCAUCGACGAAGCCGGUCUUUGGAUCGGUGACGGUAGGUGGAGAAGAAGCACCGGCCAACUACGUGCCAGCAGCCGCGGUAAUACGUAGGGUGCGAGCGUUGUCCGGAUUUAUUGGGCGUAAAGAGCUCGUAGGUGGCUUGUCGCGUCGGUCGUGAAAUCUUACAGCUUAACUGUGAGCUUGCGAUCGGUACGGGCGAGCUUGAGUGCGGUAGGGGAGACUGGAAUUCCUGGUGUAGCGGUGGAAUGCGCAGAUAUCAGGGGGAACACCGGUGGCGAAGGCGGGUCUCUGGGCCGUUACUGACACUGAGGAGCGAAAGCGUGGGGAGCAAACAGGCUUAGAUACCCUGGUAGUCCACGCUGUAAACGUUGGGCGCUAGGUGUGGGGGACUUACACGUUCUCUGUGCCGUAGCUAACGCUUUAAGCGCCCCGCCUGGGGAGUACGGCCGCAAGGGCUAAAACUCAAAUGAAUUGACGGGGA